UGACAGAAACUCGUUCUCUAGAGAGAA
rnacentral:piRNA from 1 species